rnacentral:rRNA from 1 species
CACGUAGUUAGCCGGCGCUUUUUUCUGCAGGUACCGUCACUUUCGCUUCUUCCCUGCUAAAAAGAGGUUUUACAACCCCGAAGGCCGUCAUCCCUCACGCGGCGUUGCUGCAUCAGGCUUGCGCCCAUUGUGCAAUAUUCCCCACUGCUGCCUCCCGUAGGAGUCUGGGCCGUGUCUCAGUCCCAGUGUGGCCGGUCACCCUCUCAGGCCGGCUACCCGUCGACGCCUUGGUGAGCCAUUACCUCACCAACAAGCUGAUAGGCCGCGAGCCCAUCCCCGAACCAAAACUUCUUUCCAGUAACUGACCAUGCGGUCGCUACUCGUAUCCAGUAUUAGACGCCGUUUCCAGCGCUUAUCCCAGAGUCAGGGGUCAGGUUGCUCACGUGUUACUCACCCGUUCGCCACUGACUCCACCCAGCAAGCUGGGCUUCACCGUUCGACUUGCAUGUGUUAAGCACGCCGCCAGCGUUCAUCCUCGAGCCAGGACUCGAAAACCUC